rnacentral:rRNA from 1 species
UACGUAGGGUGCGAGCGUUAAUCGGAAUUACUGGGCGUAAAGUGUGCGCAGGCGGCGUCGCAAGUCGAGUGUGAAAGCCCUGGGCUUAACUUGGGAAUUGCGCUCGAAACUACGAUGCUGGAGUAUGGCAGAGGAAGGUGGAAUUCCACGUGUAGCGGUGAAAUGCGUAGAGAUGUGGAGGAACACCGGUGGCGAAGGCGGCAUUCUGGACCGAUAUUGACGCUGAGGAGCGAAAGCCAGGGGAGCAAACGGG